CCCUGAUGGAAAUGAAGAAUACAUGACCAGGACAGUGGGGGACGGCCCUGAUGGAAAUGAAGAAUACAUGACCAGGACAGUGGAGGACGGCCCUGAUGGAAAUGAAGAAUGCAUGACCAGGACAGUGGAGGAUGGCCCUGAUGGAAAUGAAGAAUACAUGACCAGGACAGUGGAGGACGGCCCUGACGGGAAAUGGAAGAUGUGGUGGAAAUGAAGAAUAAAUGCUGCUCCAUCCUACAAAGAAUGUCCACUGUGUUGUUACCAGAUGCUGAGACGGUACAACCUGCUGACUGAUGCAUACCAUAUCAUCAGCCUUGGAUACAAGUUCCUACUCACCCUCUCAGUUACCCAGGUAGAUCAACUCACCCUCUCAGUUACCCAGGUAGAUCCUACUCACCCUCUCAGUUACCCAGGUAGUUCCUACUCACCCUCAGUUACCCAGGUAGAUCCUACUCACCCUCUCAGUUACCCAGGUAGAUCCUACUCAGCCUCUCAGUUACCCAGGUAGAUCCUACUCACCCUCUCUGUUACCCAGGUAGAUCCUACUCACCCUCUCAGUUACCCAGGUAGAUCCUACUCACCCUCUCAGUUACCCAGGUAGUUCCUACUCACCUUCUGUUACCCAGGUAGAUCCUACUCACCCUCAGUUACCCAGGUAGUUCCUACUCACCCUCAGUUACCCAGGUAGUUCCUACUCACCCUCAGUUACCCAGGUAGAUCCUACUCACCCUCUCUGUUACCCAGGUAGUUCCUACUCACCCUCUCAGUUACCCAGGUAGAUCCUACUCACCCUCUCAGUUACCCAGGUAGAUCCUGCUCACCCUCUGUUACCCAGGUAGUUCCUACUCACCCUCUCAGUUACCCAGCUAGAUCCUACUCACCCUCUGUUACCCAAGUAGUUCCUACUCACCCUCUCAGUUACCCAGGUAGUUCCCACUCACCCUCUCAGUUACCCAGGUAGAUCCUACUCACCCUCUCAGUUACCCAGGUAGCUUGUGAAUGAAGUUUCUCUACCUUAAAGUAUAUCAAGAGCAGGGGCUGGUAGUGAUGUAGCUAGGUGGUUGUAUUAGGGGUAGUGAUGUAGCUAGGUGGUUAUAUUAGGGGUUGUGAUGUAGCUAGGUGGUUGUAUUAGGGGUUGUAAUGUAGCUAGGUGGUUGUAUUAGGGGU
rnacentral:lncRNA from 1 species